rnacentral:rRNA from 1 species
CCUACGGGCGGCAGCAGUGGGGAAUAUUGCACAAUGGGGGAAACCCUGAUGCAGCGACGCCGCGUGAGUGAAGAAGUAUUUCGGUAUGUAAAGCUCUAUCAGCAGGGAAGAAAUAGCGACCUUUGGGUCGCCAGACGGUACCUGACUAAGAAGCCCCGGCUAACUACGUGCCAGCAGCCGCGGUAAUACGUAGGGGGCAAGCGUUAUCCGGAUUUACUGGGUGGAAAGGGAGCGUAGACGGCAGCACAAGUCUGAAGUGAAAUGCCGGGGCUUAACCCCGGAACUGCUUUGGAAACUGUGCAGCUAGAGUGCAGGAGAGGUAAGUGGAAUUCCUAGGGUAGCGGUGAAAAGCGGAGGUAUUAGGAGGAACACCAGGGGCGAAGGCGGCUUACUGGACUGUAACUGACGUUGAGGCUCGAAAGCGUGGGGAGCAAACAGGAUUAGAUACCCGAGUAGUC